AUUGAACGCUGGCGGCAUGCUUUACACAUGCAAGUCGAACGGUAACAGGCCGCAAGGUGCUGACGAGUGGCGAACGGGUGAGUAAUGCAUCGGAACGUGCCCAGUCGUGGGGGAUAACGCAGCGAAAGCUGCGCUAAUACCGCAUACGAUCUCUGGAUGAAAGCGGGGGACCGAAAGGCCUCGCGCGAUUGGAGCGGCCGAUGUCAGAUUAGGUAGUUGGUGGGGUAAAGGCCCACCAAGCCAACGAUCUGUAGCUGGUCUGAGAGGACGACCAGCCACCAUGGGAAUGAGACACGGCCCAGACUCCUACGGGAGGCAGGAGUGGGGAAUUGUGGACAAUGGGCGCAAGUCUGAUCCAGCAUUGCCGCGUGCAGGAAGAAGGCCUUCGGGUUGUAAACUGCUUUUGUACGGAACGAAACGGCUCUGGUUAAUACCUGGGGCUAAUGACGGUACCGUAAGAAUAAGCACCGGCUAACUACGUGCCAGCAGCCGCCGUAACAC
rnacentral:rRNA from 1 species